UUUUGCACUGCUAUUUCCGGUGCUCAUGAUAUCAAACAACACAACCGAAAGUUGUUGUGCUGUACUGCUGUGCAUCAGCACGUAACAGAUAGAACAAAAGCUUGUGUUGUAACUCAACAAUUUGUUCUAUGUUGUUCUAAUGUACUGUCCCCUAAAUGGACUGGCCCUUCAUAAGAGUUUGCAUGCCAACAUUUCUCUGUUUUAAACCUAUAUCUUCAUGUAAUGCAAAAUCAGCUAUAACUCACAUGUCUUUUAUUUUUAUAAGAUAGCAUUUGGUAAUGUGUUAGAAUCAGAUGGAAUUUAACAUCUGAGUUCUAUUUUAUGUCUAGUACGUUUUAAAAACUAAAUAGAAAUAGAACAUGGGAUUAAAAAAUGGUACAUUUUCUUUCCACUUAAAAGGAUGAAACCAAGGAGAACCUAGAAUGUUCCAUUUUGUUCUGUCCACGAGCCAAAUGCUACUUAAGACUUUGUAGGAGGUGCGGGACUCACUAUUUCCCUAAUCUUUUCCUUUAUUUCUCCCCCACCAAACAAAGCAUAAGUUUUUCAGGUAUUAGAUAUUUCAAUGUGAGGAUGAGAAAUUUUAGGAGGCAAAGAUCGUGUGUAGAGGAUUCUAUACAAUUAUCAUAUGAUUAUAGAUCAGAUUCUACUUUCUGGGGACUGAUUUCUCCUUUUGAUGACAACAUGUAAUAGCAAUCAUAGUGAAAAUAAUUACGAGCGUAUUUGGAUGAUAACUUUUAACUGGGUAAUUCAUUUUAAUCAUGUAAUUGAAAUAUUUCAAGGUGAAAUUAUAGAUAAAUCAUUUAAAGAAAAAUUAAAUUCAGUUAUUUUAAUAAGGAAUUUUAUUCCAUAGCGAAUGCAUGAAUUGAAAUUCUUUGCAAAAAUGAGAGAAUUUUAAUUUCUGCUACUCCUCUCUACGGCCGGUCUCUUUCCUCUCUACGGUUGGUCUCAAUCACUCUAUACCUACACCUCACUUGCUUUCACUCAUUCCUCUCCACCCACACACUCUCCCUUGCGACCCUCGUUCUCACUCCCUCACAGUCACGAAAACCUUCAUUCAAAUCGUACACUCUCGGUGAUUAUUACCUCGUUCAGAUUGCAUACUCUCACGAUGGCUACGACCUCCGUUCUCGCUUGAUUCAGAUCGCACACUCUCUUCAUAAAAGGGAUAGAUCGUGAGAAUGUCUUUUGGCUUAUGUGGGGAUUACUUUUUUUUUUUAAUGCAGCUUUUCAAAAUAUAUCGAUGUCUUAGGUUGUAUUCUGAAAUCAGUAAUGUUUAAAUUAUUCUCAUUUUUAUAUUUUUAAUGACACUGAUGAUGAUAAAAUGUAAAGAAGGUAUUUUAUA